GCAUUGGUAGUUCAGUGGUAGAGCUCUCACUUGCCACGUGGGAGGACCGGGUGUUCGAUUCCUGGCCAAUGAA
rnacentral:tRNA from 1 species